rnacentral:misc_RNA from 1 species
CAUGUGGCGCGCCGCAAGGCCGUCGCUUGGGAUAGAACCCUUGCCUUUUUCGAGUACCGUACCGUUUCCUCGGCAGGCUCGCCUGCCAAUGGGGACCCCAACCAAAACCUUUUGCAACCAACCUGAACGCAGUCUGAUCAUAUAAACAAAAUAGAAAUCA